rnacentral:rRNA from 1 species
ACGAACGCUGGCGGCGUGCUUAACACAUGCAAGUCGAACGGAAAGGCCUCAGCUUGCUGGGGUACUCGAGUGGCGAACGGGUGAGUAACACGUGGGUGAUCUGCCUUGCACUCUGGGAUAAGCGUGGGAAACUGGGUCUAAUACCGGAUAUGAACUGCCUUUAGUGUGGUGGUUGGAAAGUUUUUUCGGUGCAAGAUGAGCUCGCGGCCUAUCAGCUUGUUGGUGGGGUAAUGGCCUACCAAGGCGUCGACGGGUAGCCGGCCUGAGAGGGUGUACGGCCACAUUGGGACUGAGAUACGGCCCAGACUCCUACGGGAGGCAGCAGUGGGGAAUAUUGCACAAUGGGCGGAAGCCUGAUGCAGCGACGCCGCGUGGGGGAUGACGGCCUUCGGGUUGUAAACUCCUUUCGACAGGGACGAAGCUUUUUGUGACGGUACCUGUAUAAGAAGCACCGGCUAACUACGUG